rnacentral:rRNA from 1 species
UUGCACUUUGCUGACGAGUGGCGGACGGGUGAGUAAUGCUUGGGAACUUGCCUUUGCGAGGGGGAUAACAGUUGGAAACGACUGCUAAUACCGCAUAAUGUCUACGGACCAAACGGGGCUUAGGCUUCGGCGCAGAGAGAGGCCCAAGUGAGAUUAGCUAGUUGGUGGGGUAAAGGCUCACCAAGGCGACGAUCUCUAGCUGUUCUGAGAGGAAGAUCAGCCACACUGGGACUGAGACACGGCCCAGACUCCUACGGGAGGCAGCAGUGGGGAAUAUUGCACAAUGGGGGGAACCCUGAUGCAGCCAUGCCGCGUGUGUGAAGAAGGCCUUCGGGUUGUAAAGCACUUUCAGUUGUGAGGAAAAGUGAGUAGUUAAUACCUGCUCACCGUGACGUUAACAACAGAAGAAGCACCGGCUAACUCCGUGCCAGCAGCCGCGGUAAUACGGAGGGUGCGAGCGUUAAUCGGAAUUACUGGGCGUAAAGCGCACGCAGGCGGUUUGUUAAGCUAGAUGUGAAAGCCCCGAGCUCAACUUGGGAUGGUCAUUUAGAACUGGCAGACUAGAGUCUUGGAGAGGGGAGUGGAAUUCCAGGUGUAGCGGUGAAAUGCGUAAAUAUCUGGAGGAACAUCAGUGGCGAAGG